rnacentral:rRNA from 1 species
UACGUAGGGUGCGAGCGUUAAUCGGAAUUACUGGGCGUAAAGCGUGCGCAGGCGGUGAUGUAAGACCGAUGUGAAAUCCCCGGGCUUAACCUGGGAACUGCAUUGGUGACUGCCUCGCUCGAGUAUGGCAGAGGGGGGUAGAAUUCCACGUGUAGCAGUGAAAUGCGUAGAGAUGUGGAGGAAUACCGAUGGCGAAGGCAGCUCCCUGGGUCAAUACUGACGCUCAUGCACGAAAGCGUGGGGAGCAAACAGG